rnacentral:piRNA from 1 species
UAUGUGAACGUUUCAUGAGGU